UGCUCUCCCCGCGGUACGGACGACGCCUGUCGAACGCCCCGGUUCCUAUGCAAUCCCGCUAUCGCAUACUCCAUACCUCCAUAUACCUUCUCUUAAGGUAAACGUAAAUGGGGAAAAAGUGUCUAUGAAGAGAAGAGAAAAGAAGAUAAUUUUUGUGACAAAAAGAAUUGAGUUGAUUAGAAAGAUAAGAUUUUAAAACCAAGGGGUGCUCCAUAACCAGUUGAAAAUUGAAGAUUUAAGAAUUACAAUUGAAUGAAGGUGCUGAUUUUUUUGUUGGUAGUUUCGUUCGUACGCAAAGUGUUUCGAGUUUUUUUAGUGCCGUAGCUCGAGUUCCGUUCCGUUUCGUUGCUUCUCAGUGUGCCGUGUGUGACUCGCGUCGCGACGCCUUCGGAGCGCAGUGCGUCGGGCGCGCUUCCAUAGCAACGACGCCGUCGUCGCGACGCCGUUUUUGUAUAAACCGGGAGAAGUAGGAGAUGGAGGAGAACCCCCGGAACAAACAGCUCAGGUUUAUGGAUUAUCCAAGUAGUCAUUCAACCCAAGGGAAAAAGGGUUUCCCGGAGGUUUCGUCUCG